CGGUGGAGGAGGAAGCAGCGGUGGAGGAGGAGGAUGAGGCAGCCAACACUGUUUAUAUAUAUAUGUAUAUAUAUAUAUAUAUAUAUAUAUAUAUAUAUUUAUAUUUUAAUUGGAGUAGCCCCCAAAUAUUGGAACAUAUAAAAAAAGACAACGCUGUUCCGCAGAGUAGCUGUUGACAUUAUAGUUGCGCAGAAACUUUGUUGACUCUAGAGAACCUCGGGCAAAUCGCACAUCCCCGUGGCGACGACUUUGCAUGCGGAUGUCAUCCAUAUCAACUUUCGAUGGCAGUUUCUGCGCCUACCAUGGUGACAACGGGUAACAUGGAAUCAGGGUUCCAUUCCGUACAGGGAACCUCAGAAACGGCUACCACAUGCAAGCAAGGUAGCAGGCGCGCAAAUUACCCACUCCCGACACGGGAAGGUAGUGACGACAAAUAACAAUACAGGGUUUUAGAGGCCCUGUAAUUGUAAUGGGUCCACUUGAAAUCCUUUAACUCUGAUCAACUGGAGGGAAGUCUGGUGCAGCGCCACU